ACAUUCAAGCACAUGAUUCUUCACCAACAGAUGAAAUUCGUGGUCUUGCUGCUGUUGGUGGGGCUCGCUGCCUGCGUGCCGCAGCGGGGGUUCAGUAAGAACAGGGGCCGCCAGCAGUUCAACAGGGGAGGCGGUUUCAGAGAUGAUGGUGGAAACAGAGGAGGCCAGGUCCACCACUCGGAAGGAGGUAUUGAUUACAACUACUCCUGGCGGAACGGCCAGAGUCAGCUGACCGGCGGUGGAGCAGAAUCUUACUGCAGAGGGCUGGGCGGUGGAUGGGCUGCUGUUACCAUUGACUCUCCUGCGAAGAACAGCUUUAUCUAUGGUCUGAUUAGGAAUGAGAGACUCCAAUACAUCUGGACGGGAGCCCGUAAGAGCGGCAGAGGUUUCACCUGGGCCAAUGGUAGUCCCGUCACCUUUGCUGACUGGUCCCACACCGGCGGGAGAGGACGUCCUCAGCCAGACAACCGUGAAGGGAAUGAAGAUUGUCUCGCCGUGCUGGACAAUAUUUACAAUGAUGGGCUCAAAUGGCACGACGUCGCAUGCUCCCACAGGAAACCCACCGUGUGUGAGCGCAGGAGCUAGGAUGCCUGUCUUCAUCACAUUUCACCAGAUGUCCUUAUCUUCCCCCUGACAGCCAUGAUGAAAAGCUUUUCUCCGCACUCCUUUCUCUUCCCAACCAAUGCCUGUCUUUUAUAAUUCCCCAUGUGAGAGAGAUCUUGCGACUUUCUGUAUUUUCGUGUGUGAUUAUCAGAUAUUGUCUUCCUUAUCUGUACACUGUAUUUAUCUAAAUUCUCUCUCUCUCUCUCUCUCUCUCUCUCUCUCUCUCUCUCUCUCUCUCUCUCUCUCUCUCUCUCUGUAUUCAAAUUAUUAUGGUAACCAUUGUCAUUCUAAAUAUGUAUUUAUUGAGCAAUUCGCCUCACCCAACUUAUGAUAUUCUUAUGAAAGGAAAUAAAAUGUGAUAAAGUAUUUGACAUAUUCUUUUCAAAAGCGGGAAAAUUUAUUUUUCAUCUCAUGCACACGCUAUAAAAAAAAUAUUAAAAUAAAAUACCAACUCUUACUAUAACAACACGAAUACAACAUCAGUAAAAAAUAAAUAAAUAAAUAAAUAAAUAAAUAAAAAAACUCUUAUUCAGUGCUAAAAACAGGCUAUGCCUUCGGCGGCUCUGGCCACCUACAGCUAGCCAAGAUUGCGUCUCCCUGUAUAUGACUUGACCUCUUUCAAGAGGAGUGUAGGGGGCUCCUGUGGUCCAGUGGCUGAGUCUCCGCCUUCCGCUCCGGUUGGGGGGGGGAGGGGGGUGCUGGAGCGUAUAGGUUCGAGUCCUACCCGGUUCCAUUGGAGUGGAAAGGUUGGGGGCUCUUUCCGACACCCCCAGCCCGUUGUUGGGCCUUCUCCACUUGAAAGAAUUGGGCAUCUCUCUACCCGACGUCUUGGUGGUUGCGCGGCAUGCACCGCCUUCCUCCCUUCGGGUAUAUCCCCAACGAAAUACCGAAAAAAAAAAAGGGGUAUGAAGACACCUCGCCAUCCGAAAUUGACCUCUCUUUUGGCAACUCUAUACUAAUCGCUUUUUGUUGCCCUCUCUGUGCUGUAAAACAAAAAAAAGUUCGCAAAGUGUCACUGAUAAUAAAGAAUAAUUUUGAUUUGUCCACAUUCGUAAAACCAUUAAGUAUUUUAAAACAUUCAAUCAGUUUUCCUCGGAGGCAACGUUUCUCAAGAAAGAACAUGUUUUAAAGGGUGGAGAGCAUCUCGUCGUAGGGUUUGUUGAGCAAGGAAUGGAUCAUUUUUGUUGCCUGACGUUGUACACCUUCUAAUUUAGCAAUGUCCUUUUUACAUGGUGGGGAGAUCAAAACUGUACUGCAUAUUUUAAGUGGGGUCUGACUAAACUACUGUAAAGCGGAAGUAUUACUUCUUUAUUUUUUUAAUAAAAAGUUUCUUUUAGGGAAGCCCUACAUUGUUUGCUUUUUUUUUGCUGCAUCGAUGUUUUGCUGUGAGAAUUUGAGGUUUGACGUGAUUUU